rnacentral:rRNA from 1 species
AAAACAAUGAGUUUGAUCUGGCUCAGAUUGAACGCUGGCGGCAUGCCUAACACAUGCAAGUCGAACGGGUAACAGGUCUUCGGAUGCUGACGAGUGGCGGACGGGUGAGUAANGNGAGAUCUGUUNUUAGUGGGGGACAACCCAGGGAAACUUGGGCUAAUACCGCAUAAGCCCUGAGGGGGAAAGCGGGGGAUCUUCGGACCUCGCGCUGGAAGAGGAGCCUACGUCUGAUUAGCUAGUUGGUAGGGUAAAGGCCUACCAAGGCGACGAUCGGUAGCUGGUCUGAGAGGACGACCAGCCACACUGGGACUGAGACACGGCCCAGACUCCUACGGGAGGCAGCAGUGGGGAAUUUUUCGCAAUGGGGGCAACCCUGACGAAGCAAUGCCGCGUGAAUGAAGAAGGCCUCGGUUGUAAGUUACUUU